ACCCUCUAGAUGCUUCCCCUUCAGAUCUCAAUAUUGUUCCGAGUGGUUAGGAAAGGAGGAAAGGUAAAACUGAAGUCGACUUGCGGUCUUUAGUGACAUACAAGUUCAUUUCAAACAUUA
rnacentral:snoRNA from 1 species